AAUUUUUAAUAUAUACUGAUAGCAAUAAGUUGAUCAUCUUCGGAACAGCUCAAAUGCUGAGAUUAGCAGAGAGAGCUGAUAAUAUAUAUAUAGAUGGAACAUUUUAUUCUGCUCCUAGUUUCUAUUAUCAGCUCUAUGUGAUUCAUGUAUUGUAUGACAAGGUAAUGAUACCUAUUGUAUAUGCUCUUUUGCCAAACAAAAAUAAAGAGACAUAUACAAAGGUAUUAAGAGUCCUUAUAAAAUAUUGUGGUGAUAACAAUAUUUGGUUUAGUCCAUCAUUGGCCCAGACAGAUUUUGAAAAUGCAGCCAUUUCUGCUCUUAAGGAUGUAUUUCCGACAAUGGCAAUAAAAGGUUGUUAUUUUCAUUUUUCAUAAGCUUUAUGGCGAAAAUGCCAAACAUUGGGAUUAUCAUCAUCGUACAUGGGGCAUUCGGAUGUACAUAAAGUAGUCCGAAGAAUGAGCACACUCCCAUUCUGUAGGGAAGAACAUGUGGCAAUAGUACGUGAUGCUUGCUAUCAAAUGGCUGCUAACAAUAGUUUGUUACUAAGUUUUAUGCAAUAUAUGGAUACAACUUGGCUCGGAGUUAGACCACUAUUUCCUUAUAAAAUAUGGUCAAGGUAUAGAGUACUGGGUCCCCGCACAAAUAAUCAUUUAAAGGGAUUUCAUCAUGCCCUGAACCGAAAAAUAUCCUAUGCUCAUCCUAAUAUUUAUACAUUAAUAAAAAUUUUAAUAAACUAUCAAAACAGUAAUGAUCUAAAACUUAUUCAAAUAAAUAAUGGAUCAACGGUUAAUCGCAUUAAUUACUCUUACGAGAUAAAAGAUCGUAUGAUCUCAAAUUUAACAGAUAUUUAUGAAGAAAGCGAAGAUGUUAUUACAUUUUUGGACGAGGUUACCAAAAUCAUUAAAUUAAAAUCUUAAUUUUUUAUUUUAUUUAUAAACAUUUUCACAGUUAUUAUCGUUCCUUUACAAAUAUGUAUUUCCCAAUUUAUCCAAUUAAAUAUUUUUUAUUACAAUUACAUGAAAUUUAAAUAAUUAAUCAAAAUCUAUGCAUAUAAUUUUAAUGUAAAUAUUCCGUUCGCUUUUAUUUUACAGGUAUAUUUUUUAUAUGAUUUUUUAAAUAAAUUAUUUAUUUUGUUAUAUUACAUUAUAUAUAAACGCUAUAUUUCUAUUGGCAUAAUUUUAUAUAUAUUUAAUUUAAUAUGAAUUAUGUCUAUUCGAUUUUUAUAUUUUAUGAUCGCAUAUUAUAUCAUGAUUGGGUUUAUUAAUAUUAUAUAUUAUU